rnacentral:rRNA from 1 species
CAAUAGCGUAUAUUAAAGUUGUUGCAGUUAAAAGCUCGUAGUUGGAGUUCAGAGUGAGCUCAGCCGGUCCGCCUCAUGGGUGAGUACUGGUCGACUCUCUCUUGUUUGUGAAUCCCGCCCGGCAGUUAAUUCAUUCGGAUGGUGGAGUUCACAUCGUUUACCUUGAAAAAUUAGAGUGUUCAAAGCAGGCGUUUGCUUGAAUAUAUUAGCAUGGAAUAAUAACAUAGGACCUCGGUUCUAUUUUGUUGGUUUCUAGAGCUGAGGUAAUGAUGAAUAGGGAUAGUUGGGGCAGUUCGUAUUUAACUGUCAGAGGUGAAAUUCUUGGAUUUGUUAAAGACGGACUACUGC